rnacentral:rRNA from 1 species
AACGAACGCUGGCGGCAGGCUUAACACAUGCAAGUCGAACGGGCGUAGCAAUACGUCAGUGGCGGACGGGUGAGUAACACGUGGGAAUAUGCCUUUCGGUUCGGAACAACUCGGGGAAACCCGUGCUAAUUCCGGAUACGCCCUUACGGGGAAAGAUUUAUCGCCGAGGGAUCGGCCCGCGUCUGAUUAGCUUGUUGGUGAGGUAACGGCUCACCAAGGCGACGAUCAGUAGCUGGUCUGAGAGGAUGAUCAGCCACAUUGGGACUGAGACACGGCCCAAACUCCUACGGGAGGCAGCAGUGGGGAAUAUUGGACAAUGGGCGCAAGCCUGAUCCAGCCAUGCCGCGUGAGUGAUGAAGGCCCUA